rnacentral:tRNA from 1 species
UGGUGUGUAGCUCAGCGGUAGAGCGUCGUAACGGCAGACGACAGGGUGUAAACCUCCCCAGCGGAGUCUCCCACUGUUGCGAACGUCGCAGGUUCGAAUCCUGCCACACCAA